rnacentral:rRNA from 1 species
GACGAACGCUGGCGGCGUGCUUAACACAUGCAAGUCGAACGGAAAGGCCCUGCUUGCAGGGUGCUCGAGUGGCGAACGGGUGAGUAACACGUGGGUGAUCUGCCCCUUACUUUGGGAUAAGCCUGGGAAACUGGGUCUAAUACUGGAUAGGACCAUGCUGUAGGUGGUGUGGUGGAAAGAUUAGUUUCGGUAAGGGAUGAGCUCGCGGCCUAUCAGCUUGUUGGUGGGGUAAUGGCCUACCAAGGCGUCGACAGGUAGCCGGCCUGAGAGGGUGGACGGCCACAUUGGGACUGAGAUACGGCCCAGACUCCUACGGGAGGCAGCAGAGGGGAAUAUUGCGCAAUGGGCGCAAGCCUGAUGCAGCGACGCCGCGUGGGGGAUGACGGCCUUCGGGUUGUAAACUCCUUUCAGCCAUGACGAAGCCCUUGUGGUGACGGUAGUGGUAGAAGAAGCACCGGCUAACUACGUG